AGAGUUUGAUCAUGGCUCAGAACGAACGCUGGCGGCGUGGAUAAGACAUGCAAGUCGAACGCUGGUUUGCGGGUAGCAAUAUUUGCAAACUGGAGUGGCGCAAGGGUGUGUAACACGUGGGUCAUCUGCCGUGAAGUCCGGGAUAACUUGCUGAAAGGCGAGCUAAUACCGGAUGUGAACGCAAGUUCAAAGUUGGGGACCGUAAGGCCUGACGCUUCACGAUGAGCCCGCGGCCUAUCAGCUAGUUGGUGAGGUAACGGCUCACCAAGGCUAAGACGGGUAGCUGGUCUGAGAGGACGACCAGCCACACUGGAACUGAGACACGGUCCAGACACCUACGGGUGGCAGCAGUCGAGAAUUUUUCUCAAUGGGCGAAAGCCUGAAGGAGCGACGCCGCGUGGGGGAUGAAUGGCUUCGGCCCGUAAACCCCUGUCAUUUGCGAACAAAUUGCUUCACCUAAUACGUGAAGUAUUGAUUGUAGCGGAAGAGGAAGGGACGGCUAACUCUGUGCCAGCAGCCGCGGUAAUACAGAGGUCCCAAGCGUUGUUCGGAUUCACUGGGCGUAAAGGGUGCGUAGGCGGCCAGGUAAGUUUGAUGUGAAAUCCCGCAGCUCAACUGCGGAACUGCAUUGAAUACUAUUUGGCUCGAGGAAUGGAGGGGAGACUGGAAUUCUCGGUGUAGCAGUGAAAUGCGUAGAUAUCGAGAGGAACACCAGUGGCGAAGGCGAGUCUCUGGACAUUUCCUGACGCUCAGGCACGAAAGCCAGGGGAGCAAACGGGAUUAGAUACCCUUGUAGUCC
rnacentral:rRNA from 1 species